rnacentral:rRNA from 1 species
AAGCAGGGGAUCGUAAGACCUUGCGCUUUUGGAGCGGCCGAUGUCUGAUUAGCUAGUUGGUGGGGUAAAGGCCUACCAAGGCGACGAUCAGUAGUUGGUCUGAGAGGACGACCAGCCACACUGGGACUGAGACACGGCCCAGACUCCUACGGGAGGCAGCAGUGGGGAAUUUUGGACAAUGGGCGAAAGCCUGAUCCAGCAAUGCCGCGUGAGUGAAGAAGGCCUUCGGGUUGUAAAGCUCUUUCAGUCGAGAAGAAAAGGUUGUGAUGAAUAAUCACAACUCAUGACGGUAUCGACAGAAGAAGCACCGGCUAACUACGUGCCAGCAGCCGCGGUAAUACGUAGGGUGCAAGCGUUAAUCGGAAUUACUGGGCGUAAAGGGUGCGCAGGCGGCUUUGUAAGUCAGAUGUGAAAUCCCCGGGCUUAACCUGGGAAUUGCGUUUGAAACUACAAAGCCAGA